rnacentral:lncRNA from 1 species
UUUAGUUUGAAACAAGAUUUCGUCAAUAAUUAAGAACUCUUCUAUUAUGAAAUUAAUCUUUGAAACUAGACUAAAUAAUUGACUUGAAAUUUCCACCAAAGCCGUAAAUUAUUUUCUACUUAUCUUAAAUUCACAGUUACAUAAUAUUUAUUUUGAAUUUUAUGUGGAUAUUGAUCAAACAUUGUUGAAAUUAAAAAUACUUGUUUAUUGAAACAAAAAAAUUCGUAUUAAAAGCUAGUAGACCAACGGUAGAUAACGCAUGACUAUGGGUAUUGUUGUAGAUGUUUGACUUUCCAAAAUUAGAAAUUUAUUUAUAACUUGUAAAUCUAAAAGUUCCGUGGCUUGAAAACCAGUGACUACUUGAGGGGUUCUCCAAUAUUAAUGACUUGAAUACUUAUAACUCCCCAUUUUUGGCACUCUUUGCCAUUCUGUACUAGAAGAUUGCUUAUAUUUUUUAUUGAAGAGCCAUUGUACAUUAAUGAUUGUUCAGAACCUAGCAAAGUGCUGGAAGAUAACAAUAUCUCGAGUUUGAAUAAUCUAUUAAGGACAAUUGUUGAUUUGGUGAAUCGAAUUAGAUCAGAUAAAUAAUCCAAAGGUUGGGACUGCACCACUCCAUGGGCCUUGUGUUGACAGGUACUCUGUGCUUAGUGAAGUUUAAGUUUUUAGAAUUAGAAAAACGUCUUCUGCGAAUGAAGUGAGUUCUAGAUUCUCAAAAAUAACAGUGAAGGAAGGACUUUGUAUCUGUGAGCACCGAACUCUUGGUCUUGGCAAAAGUUUAGUAAGUCUUGCUGUUCCCAAGUUUAAUGUCGAUUUAGUAUGAACUGAUUAUAAGCCCGACAAUAGUCUAUAUCCGGAUCCGGAAAUUAAGUAUAAGUUAUACUAUUGUGAAGAUUACGGCUAUAUACUAUCUUUGGAACUUAACUUAUCCUGUGAAUAAUUGUUCCGUAGUUUGGAAUAUAUGAAUUUCUUAUAAGCAUUAACAAUAUUGUUGUUUGUAAACCUGAGUUUAAUUAACGAAUAUCAAAUUGUACUCUUCUUCAAAACUUUUAUCUGCCCAAGCUACUAAAAACUUUGUUAACAGUUGAGAAGUUUGAUAACCAAAAAGGUUUAAUAGUUAUAAAAUAUUGAAAGAAAAAAAAAAUUGAUCUCACGAUUUCAAGGCUUUAAACCUAAUUACAACAUUCUGUAAAGAUGGAUUAUUUAUCGAAUGUUUAAAUAAAAAAAUGCA